rnacentral:rRNA from 1 species
UACGUAGGGGGCUAGCGUUGUCCGGAAUCAUGGGGCGUAAAGAGCGCGUAGGCGGCUAGAUAAGUCCGGUGUGAAAGUCACAGGCUCAACCUGUGAAUGCCGCUGGAAACUGUCUGGCUAGAGUCCGGAAGGGGCGAGUGGAAUUCCUGGUGUAGCGGUGAAAUGCGCAGAUAUCAGGAAGAACACCAAUGGCGAAGGCAGCUCUCUGGGACGGUACUGACGCUGAGACGCGAAAGCGUGGGGAGCGAACAGG